GUUCUUGCUUUGACAGCACAUAUACCAAAAUUGAAAUGAUACAGAGAAAAUAAGCAUGGCCCAAUGCAAGGCUGAGAAGCAAAUUCGUGUUGUUCCAUAUUAAG
rnacentral:snRNA from 1 species